UCAGGCAUGGCCUUUAUAUCCUGGGCUACACACACGGCUACAAUGGGAAGGGACAAUAGGUUGCGAAGCCGCGAGGCGGAGCCAAGUCCAGCAAAACUUCCCUCAGUUCAGAUUGCAGGCUGCAACUCGCCUGCAUGAAGUUGGAGUUGCUAGUAAACGCAGGUCAGCCAUACUGCGUUGAAUACGUUCCCGGGGCUU
rnacentral:rRNA from 1 species